CUUUUGCUGUGCAGAAGCUCUUUAGUUUAAUUAGAUCCCACUUGUGUAUUACGGCUUUUGUUGCCAUUGCUUUUGGUGUUUUAGUCAUGAAGUCCUUGCCUGUGUCCAUGUCCUGAAUGGUAUUGCUUAGGUUUUCUUCUAGGGUUUUUAUGGUUUUUGGUCCAACAUUUAAGUCUUCAAUCCAUCUUGAAUUAAUUUUUGUAUAAGGUGUAAGGAAGGGAUCCAGUUUCAGCUUUCUACAUAUGGCUAGCGAGUUUUCAUUCAGAGUAGCUUUUUAAAGAUUGUAUUGAUAUGACUCAGCUCAGGAUUGAGGUACUUUAUCAAAAGCUGAUAGAUAAUGUGCUAUCUACCUAUACUGUGCCUAAUACAUCUUAUAGCAUCAUCACUCCCUCUGUCCUGUCAGUAUCAUUAUUUAACAAAGAUCUAUAGUGAAAGUAUGUUCAGUAUGUUCAAAAUUGUACAGUAACAUCGAGGUGGACAUUUGUAUCUCCUGCAAAGGUAAGAAUGAGGUAAGGGAAGUCUUCCCAGAUGCUAUUAGAUCCUCCCCACCAUAACUAUGAUGAUUAUCUUUGUCAUUGUCAUGCAUUGCUAUCAUCCUUACAAUAAUCAAAUAGCACUUUUUGAGAACUUACUGCUUACCAGGUACUGUAGGAGGCAAUGAUAUACAUGAUCUCAAACAAUUCCCAUAACCUCCUCAUGACUUAGGUACUGUUAUUAUCCCCAUUCUAUAGACAAGGGAAUGAUGCUUACAGAAGUAAAACAGCUUGAUUAGUGUUAAACAGCAGGUCCUUAAUUCAAACCUGGUACUUACCAAACAGCCAUGAUCUUAAUCAUUAUGCCACUACUACCUCAAUUCAUUUGAUUCAAGAUAAUUGAUCAUAACAAGUUUCAUAGAUAUGGCUUGUAUGUUAAUUGUUUCAAUUUUACAGUUGAAGACCCUGAGGUUGAUAUGAAUUAUUUUCCCAAAUAAUUGGGUAAAAGAUGAGAGCCAUACUCAAAGGUUUCUAACUUCAAGUUUUACAUUUCUCUAUCACAUUUUGUAGAUCCUCAAAUAAAAGUAGGAUAGGCAAAUUAUGAAGUCCAUACACGCAUACAUUUACAUUUGACAUAUGCAUGCCAGAGAAAUAGAUCCCUUCAUUUCACAGCCCACAGGUCUAUAAAUAUUAUUGUGCUCUUGUUUCAAGUCUUUGAGUUAGUAAUAGCAUGGUCUGAUUUUUAUCUUUGGUUCUAUUUUCCCUUUGAGCUUUAUUUUAUUUCUCCUGCUUUUCUUGAUUUUUGGGAAUUAAUUUUUUUAACAUUAUUAACUCUAUAGCUUUUAGUCACCCUUUGAAGAGGUCCUACUGAGUAAUGAUCUUCUUUCACCUUCUGAACGCUGGGGAAGAAAUUUUUAUAAACAUUGGCUGGAAGGGAUGCUUAUCUUUAGCUCAGGAAAGCAUUAUCACCUGUAUCUCUUAGUUCUUUUACCUUUCUUUCCUCACUCUUUUUACUUCUUUGCAUUCUCUUUCUUCUUACCUUUUCCUGUCUUUUUUUUCUUUCCUCCUCACCAUCUUCCCUUCUUUCUCCCUGUCCUCUCUUCCUCUCUUGAAUUUAACAGGUAAACCGUGUAUUCUCAUUUAAAAUUUUACAAUUGGUUUUCUGCAUUUCUAAAUAGUGUUGUGCAAUGAACUCGGCUUUGCAGUCCAAUAUAACCAGCUAAUACUUUAUCUUUACCUUUUGUUGGCUUUGUAAUCCUAGGCAAAUUGAAGACUCUUAGACUUAAUUUGCCCUUUUUAAAAACGGAGGUAAUAAUACCUUUUCUGUAAUACAGUUACAAAUCUAAUAUUGCCUGAGACAGAGAGAAGGUACACAAUUGAAAACUCUCUUCCUGUUAAAGAAAAUAUUUUAAAAUCAGGGCCAGGUGUGGUGUUAGGCAUUCUUUUUUAUGUUUGUCUCCAUAAAUUGGUAUGGCUCAAUUUUGCACCAGAUUGUAAAAUUUCCAUUGGCAGAAACUGGUUCUCACUCAUAUUUUGUCCCAAUUGCCCAACCCAAUAUGUGAUAGAUGCUCAAUAAGUAGGAUAUGUAUUAAAUGGAGCCAAAAGUGAGGCCAGAUCAAGCCAAGGAUGCAGACUUCACUAUCAGACAGCCUGGGUGAUCUCAUUUCACUUUCACCCACAAAGCAGCCUCUGCUACAAGGAAAGCAUCUGCUGGUGAGAAAUUCUUUGCAGCAUUUCCCUGUAAAUUGGAGAGUAGAAGAAAAGACUGCUCAACCAGCUGUCGUCAACAACUUAGAAAACUUGAAUGUUUAGUGACCAGAUUUUUCUAAUAUGAGCAGAUGGGGCCAAAACACAGAAUCUCUCUGACAUCCUAUCUCAUGCCAGACUGGCCUUCUAGUGCCUACAUAUUAUUGCCCGAAUUUGACUGAUGAGGAAACUAAAACUUGGUGAGUCUAUAUAGCUGAAACGUAGAAGAGCUGGCUGGACUGCAACCCCAGAGCAUCUCACUCCAAAACCUAUCUCUUCCAAUAAGCCUUACCAGAGAAGAAAGGACAGGAGGAAAAAGAUGAAAAAUGCUGUAACAACAAGAAAUGCGAACACACACAAACACACACACACACACAAACACACACACACACACAUGAAAUGCUUUAGGGAUAACUUACAAAACCCUAUUUGACCCCUAAUAUAUUCCUUCUGUAACAUUAGCUGAUCUACAGGUAGAAUUCAUUUUGCCUAAGUUGGUAAUAAAUGGUGUUGGCAAAUCUUUUCUCCUGUUUUUCCCAGAAACCCAGCCAGGCUACAUUUUCCAAUGUCCCUUGUGGUUAGAUUGGUAAUAGAAUUGAAUUGUAGCUAAUGAAAUAUGAUCAGAAGUGAUACAACUUGUAGGGAUGAACAUAAAACCCUUCCACAUGUUCCUUUAUGAGUUUUGCUCCUUUCAACUUGGGAAAGGAUCUCAAGGGUAACCUUGGGAACUAUGAAUUGGGGAUGCCAGAGCUGUCAUAGUCUUGGUUCAAGACUGGCUGUGUGGAGAAGAGCUUCUUCCUGCAAAACGAAACACAAAUAACACCACCAACUUAUUCCUGUCAAACUAGGACCAGUCAUUAAGAUGAACAUAAAUAAGCUUCUACUGUGUUGAGCUAGCCACAUUUAAUUAGAUCUAUUUGUCACCAUAAUCUAGCCUACCCUGACUAAUACAAAUACGCUGGAGGCAGUCUGCAUCCUAGUAUUAACAGAAGAAAACCUUAAGCAAGUUAAAUUUGAUAAAAUUUAAUUGAACAAGGAACAAUUCACAAACUAGGCAGCCCUCAGAACCUAAACACGUUCAAAGAACUCUGGUCUGCAACGUCGUCAGACAAUAUUUAUGGAUAGAAAAUGGAAAUGAAGUACAAAAAAUGAAAGUGAGGUACAGAGACAGCUCGAUUGAUUAUAUUUCAGCAUUUGCCUUAUUGGAACAUAGUUUGAACUGUUGGCCCUCUGCAAUUGACUGAAGCUCAACUGCUGUGGUUGGCUGACCCUCAGCUGUUUGUUACGAAAUGAAGAUUUCAGAAACGUAAAUGCAACAGAGAUGGAGAUUUUCUUUGACUGAUUGGCACUUGGAGCCAUAGGAAAAAUAAUAGUACUAUUGAUGAGACAGAGUACCAUCCAUUCUUACAUUGCAGUCACAUUGGAUCUACACUGAAUUAACAAGCUGCAGCCCCAGCCACCGCUAGAGCGGUGAGGGCACACCGGAUCCCAGAUCUGCAGGCGGCUGAGCAGGUGGAGCCCAGCGAAGAGAUGUUCCUGCUGCAGGCAAUUAUGCAAAAUGACAAGUGAUUGCUUUCCUUUUCAAAGACAACCCCUUUGGAAAAAGCUUUUUCCUCGAGGACCCUAGGGAAAUGGGGGGUUGGUGGGAACUUCAGGGCCUUCGUAGAUGAAAAAGCCUGAAUGGAGCCAUAGAGCAGACGCUGCUGCCUGCUCUGCAGACCUUAGCCACACAGGUUUCCAGGGGGACAAUGCCUGGCCAGGCCUAGGGCCUAUAAGGUGUGACUGGAGCAUUUCAGAGUGCUGUGGUUGGGCUCCUGUCCUCCGGGCCAGGGUGACUUGCAGGGAAGGGAAAGCUUCAUGGAGCAGAG
rnacentral:lncRNA from 10 species